rnacentral:rRNA from 1 species
CCUACGGGUGGCUGCAGUCGAGAAUCAUUCACAAUGGGGGAAACCCUGAUGGUGCGACGCCGCGUGGGGGAAUGAAGGUCUUCGGAUUGUAAACCCCUGUCAUGUGGGAGCAAAUUAAAAAGAUAGUACCACAAGAGGAAGAGACGGCUAACUCUGUGCCAGCAGCCGCGGUAAUACAGAGGUCUCAAGCGUUGUUCGGAAUCACUGGUCGUAAAGGGUGCGUAGGCUGGUUCGUAAGUCGGGUGUGAAAGGCGGGGGCUCAACCCGAGAAAGGCAAUUGAUACUGGGAGACUGGAGUAAAGGUGAGGGAGGCGGAAUUCGCGGUGUAGCGGUGAAAUGCUUAGAUAUCAAGAAGAACACUGAUGGCGAAGGCAGGUUACUAAACAGUAACUGACACUGAUGCUCGAAAGCGAGGGUAUCAAAAAGGAUUAGAUACUCUAGUAGUC